rnacentral:lncRNA from 1 species
AGUCAGACAUACUUACUAAUUGGGGCCUUGAGCAAGUUGCUUAAUCUCACAGAAAUUCGGUUUCUGAUCUGAUCUAGAGAUAAAAAUACCCUCAUGACGACUGUAAGCAGUAAAGGGAUAAUGACUACAAAGGGUCUAGUGGCACCCAGUGUGUGAAGACACCCAAACCAUCAUCUAGAGACCAAGGUUCCUUCCUCACAAGCCCUCAGACCCUUAUGUCUACUCAGGAUCCUUGGCGGGAAGGGUGAUAUGCCUGGAAUAUUCCAGACAUACACAAUAGCAUGGCCAAUAUUUGUAUUAAAAUAUACAUCUGACAAAGUGCCUAAGUCACUGGACCCAAAGUACUCUGCUCCUUGAAAGGUUCCUGUGUAGGGUCCUCGUGCGUGCAGCUGUUUUGUAAUCUCACAGGCACUUUGCUGAAGGGACUCUGGGGCCACUGAGCCCUCUGUGACGUCAGGGGAGACGUGAGAGACAAACGUGGCAGCCACCGAGGAGGGGAAGUGAGGGUUUGCAUUCUUCUGUGCAGAGGGGAAACUGGGAGUCAGAGAGGUGAAAUGACUUAGACAAGGACACACAGAGAACAAGAGGCAGACGUCCUGGCUUUCUAGGCUGGCGCUCUUCCCAAACACUUGGGAACCUAAGCUACAAUCUUUGGAGAUUGUUUUACAGUCUGGAUUUUCUUGGGAUAAAUGUCUAGAUAAGCACUGGGGGUAGAAGCUGAGACCUCCAAAAGGACUAAUGAGAGGAGGGGAGGUUAUCUGCUUCUUCAGCAAGGGGCUGUGGCAGUAUAGGCAGAGUGGAGGAGGUCAAGAGAGAGUUAGGUACGGCCAGGAAGACAUCAGAGGGGGGUCCCUCCCUGAGUCGUGCUUCCCCACAGCCCCCACACUGUCAAUAAUAAAGGCUACUAAAAUCAGGAAAAGUCACCAAUGUGGCUUUUCUUGGGAAACUGACUACCAAAGAAGCUGUUUGGUGGCCAGGUUGGGCACGUGAAGGUGAAGACCCACAGAGACACUGAUGCUGAAGGUCCCCUGAGGAGGGACGCCCCAAAGGUUCCCAGCCCUCCCACAGAGGACUCUGGGGUGUCACAAGCCGGGAGACUGGUCAGGCCAAGUGUGGAAAGCUCUCCAAAGAGCAGGAGACCCUCCCACAUCUGUGUUACAGUGGCAAAAUCACUUGACAAGUGACCUGUGGCAAUCAGACAAAAGAAUGUAUCUAUCUUUUUACCAUCAAAAAAGACUUGCACAAAUACAUUAACAUCUGCACACACAGCGUUCCCGUUGUGGCGCAGCAGGAACGAACCCAACUAGGAUCCGUGAGGAUGCGGGUUCAAUCCCCAGCCUCACUCAGUGGGUUAAGGAUCCGGCAUUGCUGUGAGCUGUGGUGUAUGUUGCAGAUGUGGCUCAGAUCCUGUGCGGCUGUGGGCUGUGGCAUAGGCCGGCAGCUGCAGCUCUGAUUCGACCCCUAGCCUGGGAAUUUCCAUAUACCCUAUGAAUUUAUUUUGUUUAGUUUGUAUAAAUUAAUGUAUGGGUCAGAUUUAUUCUACUUUGGGGUAAAUCCUAUGUUUAUCUCAAGAAAUCUACAAUUUUGUCCUGAAAUGUGACAGAAUGAAAACCAAUGUAUGUGUUAUAUAUGAAAUGACUCAUGGUUGUUAACAAAAAUCAAAUACUCCCUUAAAAUAAAUAACUGCAAUUUUGUCAGCUAAAUGAAAACAUGAACAGUUUUUACUGCUUUUGUAAGCAAAAGUGCGUGAAAGAAAAAAUGUGUUCUUUAGUGAAAAGUUGAGUCCCUUAUAAUCAGGAGGUAAAAAUCAAAACCAGCUGAGGCAGCUACCUUACUCCUCAACUCACCCACAAGUUAUCAUAUGGAAUACUUUUAUCCCCCCAAACAUUCAUUUCAUAUGUGUAAGAAUAUUUCCAAAAAUAUUUAAGUACUUUCUAAUCAGCAAUAGGGGACAUCAGUGAGAAACGAGCACCUCAGAAGGACUGGACACUGAACAAGCAUCCACUUAAAAAAGCAAAUUGCCAAACAAGUGGAAAGAAUGAUGUUAUUUCUCUCUGCACUUUGGUCUAUAAAUGAAUGACUUAAAAGCAAGUUGGGAAGCAAAGUUAAAGAAGCUCUAGAAAUUCCAUGAUGGUUAAAGGGUAUUUUGUAAACUGAAGACUAUUUGAAAGCCCCAUAAUUUCCUCUUAAUAAGCAUUUGCAUACUUUUAAAAGGGAUGACUUCAUAAUAAUAGCCAAAAUGCCUUGGAUGAAUGACUAUUAAAAUUAAGUUCACCUUAUUUGAACCAUGGGGAGAAAAGGUCAAAAUGAAGUCCUCUCCUUUUGCUUUUAAGUGCUUUUACUGAUAGAAGCCUCAAUUACCUCUGUCGGCUUUGAACCCACAGCUCCCAUAGACUUGUCCGCGGCCAGCCUAUGCUGUAGGUCAGAGGGAGGCUGCCACAGCUUCAGCACCAGGGACAGCAAAGAACUCAGGCCCAAACAGCAGGUACUUCCACACCAAACACUUUAUAUGCAAAAUUGUGUAAGGUUUAGUAACUAUUAGUGUGUUUCAGGCAGCGGACUGCCGGCUAAGGCAUUGUUUUCCUUUCCAAGACUGCCCAGUAGAACUACACUGCAUAGUGCCAAACACUCAGUGAAUGACUGGAUGUUGUCCUGGACACAGGACAAACUGUCCAGGAAGAAACCGUGCUACCACUGGAAGAAGAGGUGGAAAAGAUGCAGGAAGUCACAAACAGGAACAUGGCUUCCUCACAGAGACAUCUCAUCCUGAGCCAGGAGCCAGCACUCUGAGACAACCAAGUGAGCAAAGCACCAAGCAGAUAUUGGACACAUACUCUCUGUGGCAUAGGAAGGGGCUCCAGGUAAUGCCAAUGCCUGAUUGGGGCACCUCGUGGGCUGCUUUUCCAUGAGUGGAAAUGGGUUCCCUGGGCCACCACGCUUGUGACCACAGUAGGACAACUGAAUGGAGUGAGGGGUCUCAUCCUGGUGGCAGAAUAUGUAAAGUGAUGAGAAGAAAAUCCCCAUAAUUGUUAAUAAUUAGAACUACGCACAAAAAUUUCACUCAUUUCUUCCCUGACAUGAUCUGGAGCUUAAAUGACCUUGCAAACUUACCAAUAUUCCUUCUCCCACAGGGAGAACCAUAACCUCGAUGGUUUCUAGAUAAUCACUCAACCCACUGGCCUGACAAUCUGUAAGGCAAUGUGAAACAAGGCUAAAAAACAUCAUUGGCUCCAUUUCAGCCUAACACUGGCUCAGAGAAGGACAGCAAAUGAGUCUUAGGGAAAUGCAAUUCUGUAAAACAGAGCAGUUACAAGGCCAUAGAAGCUCAGAAUUAUUACCCACAUCCAUUCUCACUUUAAGACAAAAAGUUAAGAAUAGGAUAAUAUUUUGAUACUGACAUUCAAAUAUGAUCUGUCUGAAAAAGGCUAAUAUAUGAAAGCUUAAUGUAAGAGAACUAAAUUGAUAAUAUUUGUUCAAGCUUCAGAAUAAUGUAUUCCUC